rnacentral:rRNA from 1 species
ACACGUAGGGGCCUGACGUUGUUCGGAAUCAUUGGGCGUAAAGGGCGCGCAGGCGGCCGUCCAAGUCCGGUGUUAAAUGGUCGGGCUCAACCCGAUCAUGCGCUGGAAACUGGGCGGCUGGAGUCGCGGAGGGGAUGACGGAAUUCCAGGGGGAGGGGGGAAAUCUGUAGAUAUCUGGAAGGACACCGAUGGCGAAGGCAGGCAUCUGGCCGGAGACUGACGCUGAGGCGCGAAGGCGCGGGGAGCGAACAGGUUUAGAUUCCCUGGUAGUCCGCGCAGUAAACGAUGCGCACCAGGUGUCGGGCGGCAGCGCCCGGUACCGGAGCAAACGCGAUGAGUGCGCCGCCUGGGGAGUAUGCCCGCAAGGGUGAAACUCAAAGGAAUUGACGGGG